UCAUGUGCAGUCGUGUAGCGCUGACUCUGCAUCUGCAGUGCAAGUGCAGCUGCAAAUGUGAGCAUGAGCAAGGGAAAACUCCAAACAACAAAACUUUUGAAAAGCCCGAAGCUAAAAAGAAAUAGUUGCACUUCAACUAUUACUACUUCAAGCGCUUCGAGAACUAGCUAGCAGCAGAGAUUGAGAGUUACUUUAGGCGAGGCGCAGUGGUGCUCUUGUCUUGACUAAGCUGUGGGACAAGCAGCAGUAGCAGCUAUCAGCCUUUCUGCAGCAGCUAUGGCGGCCUCAGCUCUCAGGAGGUGUGCAAGGCCUGGCUUGAAUUCUGCAAUUUGUCUACAUCGAUCAAACUUUCCAGCAACGCCAGGCGCAGUUUCAGCAGGCCCUGUUGCCCUUCAGAGCAGCCGAGGAAUAGCAGACAUCAUCUUCCGCCAUAAGCGAGUGGGAAAGUUCGAGGUGCCUGUGGAGGACGCCGACGGCAGGCCAAUUCCUCGCGCGCCCAACGGCCACGUCACGCCGUUCGAGCUCUACACGCAAGGAGCAUUGACCGACGAGACGUCCGACGCGUACCGUUGGGGCGCAGCCAGCAAUCAAACAUGGAUGGUGAGGUUCGCUCUGAACUUUUGCCUGGGUAUAUGGGUCGCCUACUACCUCAUCCAGAACGGGGUGCACAUUUUGACUUUAGACCGUCUGGAACGGCGACGGAUCGUGGACGACUUGAUCGAGAAAGAAAAGGCCGCGGAGGCUGCUGCUGCUGGUGGUGACGGUGCUGGGCUGGCGACGAGCUCGCAGUGAACGAAUGAGGUGACCUGAUGACUGGCGGCUCCGGUGUUACUAGCGGCCUGUAUUGGCAGAUGGGCCGUAGUCAAAUAAUCAAGUAGCCACCGCCGUCACAGCACCGACAACCCCAGCGCUGACACUGGCAGUCUUCCCCCUGGAGUUCAUAUUCAUAGUAUGUACAGCAGCCAUGCGAGCUUGCAUGCCCCUCAUAUGUGCAGCGCAUGCGACUGACGACCAACUUACAACUCCGCCGUGUGCAGUAGAGUGCCAGUUGUAGUGCCUCCUCCGCUCGUGUUCAGUUUGAACAACUUGAAAGAUCUUCUUUUUUUCGUCCCGUGUCCGCGUCUGUCGUGUUUGUGAUCAGAUUCCAGAUUCUGCUGUAAACUAUUUCGAAUGACGUUCAAUUUCAUGCUUUGUAGAAUUUAAAACUCCUUGUCGGUGAUUUGUUUGUAAAAUCUAACUGUUGCUCUGGAUAUGGAAGUUGUUAAGCCGUUUCAUGAAGGAUGAAGAUAGGGUAUUUAGAAUUGAAUAA